UUGGAGGGCAAGUCUGGUGCCAGCAGCCGCGGUAAUUCCAGCUCCAAUAGCGUAUAUUAAAGUUGUUGCAGUUAAAAAGCUCGUAGUUGAAUUUCGGGAUUGACGUGAUGGUCAUGCCUUAAGGGGUAUGAACUGUUACUGUUGAUUUCUCACCUUCUGGAGAAACUUGAUGUCCUUUAUUGGGUGUCUUGCGGAUCCAGGACCUUUACCUUGAAAAAAUUAGAGUGUUUAAAGCAGGCAUUUUUGCUCGAAUACAUUAGCAUGGAAUAAUAGAAUAGGACGGCAUGGUUCUAUUUUGUUGGUUUCUAGGAUCACCGUAAUGAUUAAUAGGGAUAGUUGGGGGCAUUAGUAUUCAAUUGUCAGAGGUGAAAUUCUUGGAUUUAUUGAAGACUAACUGCUGCGAAAGCAUUUGCCAAGGAUGUUUUCAUUAAUCAAGAACGAAAGUUAGGGGAUCGAAGACGAUCAGAUACCGUCGUAGUCUUAACCAUAAACUAUGCCGACUAGGAAUCAGACGAUGUUAAUUUUUUAAUGACUCGUUUGGCACCUUAUGGGAAACCAAAG
rnacentral:rRNA from 1 species